rnacentral:rRNA from 1 species
AUUGAACGCUGGCGGCAUGCCUUACACAUGCAAGUCGAACGGCAGCACGGGAGCAAUCCUGGUGGCGAGUGGCGAACGGGUGAGUAAUAUAUCGGAACGUGCCCAGUCGUGGGGAUAACGUAGCGAAAGCUACGCUAAUACCGCAUACGAUCUAUGGAUGAAAGCGGGGGAUCGCAAGACCUCGCGCGAUUGGAGCGGCCGAUAUCAGAUUAGGUAGUUGGUGAGGUAAAGGCUCACCAAGCCGACGAUCUGUAGCUGGUCUGAGAGGACGACCAGCCACACUGGGACUGAGACACGGCCCAGACUCCUACGGGAGGCAGCAGUGGGGAAUUUUUGGGACAAUGGGCGCAAGCCUGAUCCAGCAAUGCCGCGUGCAGGAUGAAGGCCUCGGUGUAACU